GUCUAUCCCAGGAUUCAAGGUUCACAGACAGUGCCACUUGUCAACAGCUAAAGAGAAAUAAGAAAAGAACUUCAGAAGGGGAAACAUUCAUAAAGAGCAAGAGCACACUGAGGUGUACGGGUGAGGAAAGCGGCCAGCAAUGUUUAAAGUAUUACCUGAAUGAGAAUGCUAUUGAUCUUUGUGGUGGUGUGGGACGCCAAGGUAUGAAUCUGGAAUUUUCAAAUGCCUCUGUGCUUUCCAGGUACUAAAAACAUGAACUCUAAAAUUACA
rnacentral:lncRNA from 1 species